rnacentral:other from 1 species
ACGGUUAUAAAUCAACAUAUUGAUUUAUAAGCAUGGAAAUCCCCUGAGUGAAACAACGAGUUGCUGUGUGUAGUCUUUGCCCAUCUCCCACGAUGGGCUUUUUUUUAA